CUUUGUUAUGUUAAUUCUCUCCAUUUGUUUUUGUUCAUUGUUGCCAAGAGCAACCGCGCCUAUCUCAAUUCGCGCGUUCUUCGCCCCCGAUUUCAACCUUUUAAUUAGGGGAAGGUACCUCGAUCCUGAGAAGAUUCAAAAAAUUAUCUCCGAGGAGCUCAUCAAGGUUGCCUGUUCCUCAAUCCUUGAAAUUCAAGAACCGCCAGAUGCCACCUCCAUUGAACAGGAUGCCGUUGCCAUCAUCAACGAUCUUCUCCGCAAUGUUCACUUUAUGAAUAGAAAGCGAGUGAAGACCGAUGGCACCGAAUUCUGCGGCUUGAUCAACACAUCCAACUUUUGCUUCGCUAAUUCUGGUCUUCAGUUGCUCUACUGCCUGAACCCAUUCUUCAGGAAAUCAAGAGUAUGCAAGUUGGAAGCCUCCCACUAGAUCAAGUCCAGAAAGCUGCUCUUCUCGAUAAUACAAAGUGUUGCUAAACACUUCAACUGCAAUAGUGACACUGAUGACGAGGUUCAAAGAUUCCACAUCAGCAUGGCUGCUGCAUUUGGGCGCCAGGAGGACAUGGCAGAAUUUAUACCUGCAUUUUUCAAGCUGAAGGGCUGCACUCACAUGCUUUUAAAGCUGUGCAUGAGGUGUUGGAAAGGCUAUGACCUGGAGGAAGGAGUAAUCAAAAUCAGCCCCGUUCAAUCUGCAGCAACACUCGGCGAAAUCCUUAAGGACACAUUUGAAAAUUCAUCCUGCUGCCGAGGCUUCAAAUUAAAGGCAGUUUUGAUAUUUAUGGCGAUUUAUGGUACUAUUGAUUUUCACCUGGGCUCAAUAAUAAUGACUCACUACGAUGGCAUAAUCUAGUUGCAAUGUGACAAACGAGUAAAAAACUUAAAAUUGUUACUCUUCAAUAAUAUCAAAAUUAGAGGAGACUUUAUUCAAAUUUAUUUAAUAAAGGUAGUUUCUACGAUUAUUAUAUUUUGGGAA